GACGAACGCUGGCGGCGUGCUUAAUACAUGCAAGUCGAACGGACAGGCGAUGCUCUUGUGGGGUGCUCGAGUGGCGAACGGGUGAGUAUAACGUGAGUAUCACGUCCUUGUAUUUGGGAGAACAUCUGGAAACUGGGGAUAAUACAGGAUAGGAGCUAUUGCAGCACGGUGGGGGAUGGAAAAUUUCGGCGGUUGGGGCUGGUUUGGAGGGUUAUGCGCUUGAUGGUGGGGUAGUGGCUGACAAAGGUUUUGAGGGGUAGCCGGCCUGGGAGGGUGACCGGCCACAAGGGGACUAAGGUACGGCCCAGACGGCAACGGUAGGCAACGGUGGGGAAUAUUGCACAAUGGGCGGAAGCCUGAUGCAGCGGCGCCGCGUGCGGAAUAACGGCCUACGAGGGGUAAACCACUGUCUACUGUAACAAAGCGGGAGUGACGGUAAUGAGUAAAGAAGCACCGGCUAACUACGUG
rnacentral:rRNA from 1 species